AUGGAAGUAACCAGAGACCAUCUCGGUCUUACUCUUCCCCUGUUCCUCUUCCUGCUCCUCUCUCCGGGAGCCUUGGUAACCGGCGUAUCCGAUCUGCUCAACGAGGGCAAUAACAUCACCGACGGCAACACGCUGGUCUCAGCCGAUGGGUCGUUCAUCCUGGGCUUCUUCUCUCCCGGGGUGUCCACCAACAGAUACCUCGUGAUAUGGUUCUCCGUGUCCAACACCACCGUCUGCUGGGUGGCGAACCGUGAAAGGCCCGUGAACAGCACGGCGGGGGUUCUGGUGUUCAGCGACACCGGAAACCUUCUCCUGCUCGAUGGCUCAGGCCAGACCGUAUGGACAUCCAACUCCACCACAAGGGCAGCUCCUGGGGUUGCGCAGCUUCUUGAAUCCGGCAACCUGGUCAUCCGUGAACAAGCCGGCCACACCACCGUGUGGCAAUCCUUCGAUUAUCUGUCUGACACGCUGCUUCCUGGUAUGAAGAUGGGCAAGAACCGAUGGACAGGGUCCGAGUGGUACCUCUCGUCGUGGCGUUCAGCCGACGACCCGUCUCCGGCCUAUCGGUUCGUCACGGAGGCGAACGGGCUACCGGACAACACCCUCUGGGACGGGAGCACCAAGGUCUACCGCACAGGGCCCUGGAACGGACUACGGUUCAGCGGCACCACGGAGGACGCGACGUACACCGACAUGUUCAAGUUCGUCGUCACCAUCAACGACGGGGAGGUAACCUUCGGGUACACGGCGACACCCGGCACGCCCCCUUCCCGCAUCGUGGCGACGUCCACCGGCUUUGUCAAGCGGCUGGUGUGGGAGGAGAGCAGGAAACGAUGGGAGACCUUCUUGCAGGGGCCGAGGGACGUCUGCGACGCCUACGCCAUGUGCGGGCCGUUCGGCCUCUGCAACGCCAACGCUCCUUCCACGUCCUUCUGCAGCUGUCCCAGGGGCUUCACGCCCGCGUUCCCCGCGGAGUGGGACCUGAGGGAGAACUCGGGUGGAUGCCGGCGAAGUGCCGCGCUAGACUGCGCCCAAGGGAACGAGGGCGCCAGCACCAGCAGCACGGACGGGUUCAUGGUGCUCCAGGGCGUGAAGCUCCCCGACACGUUCAACGCAUCGGUGGAUGCGAGCACCACGGUGGAGGAGUGCAGGGCAAGGUGCUUCGCCAACUGCUCCUGCUUGGCCUAUGCCCCUGCUGAUAUUAAGGUAGGCGCUGUCGCUGGGUGCAUCAUCUGGACAGGAAACAUCACCGACCUACGCUACGUGGAUGGAGGGCAGGCUUUGUACAUGAGGCUGCCAAAGUCUGAACUAGUAAUAAUAUUUCAUACCUACAUGUCGCGUGGAAACUGUCUAGUUUUGUACUACAUCUCAUAUGGUCAGAGUCUUUCAGAUGCUACCGACCCCGCUGCUAGUCGUCGAGAUCCUGCUUCGACUGUCGGGUCGGUCCCUGCAGCUGAUCCAUCGACUAUGAUUGAAGCCACGGAAGAAUUUUCCCAAGCCGGCAUAUGUGUCCCUGCAGUAGAUCUGCCUUCUAUAAAGGCGGCCACAGACGAUUUUUCUGAUAGCAAUAUCAUUGGCAAAGGCGGAUUUGGCGUGGUUUACAAAGCCCGACUAAAUGGUGAUAUCGUCGCUGUAAAAAGACUUAGACCAUCUGGCCGAACGGAAAAAGGCAAGAAUGACUUCACAAGAGAAGUGAAAGUGAUGUCAAGGGUCACGCAUAUAAAUCUUGUGAAACUAGUUUCCUACUGCCAGGAAGAGGACGAGUGGAUACUAGUCUACGAGUACAUGCCCAACAAAAGUUUGAGCCCCUACAUAUUUGGAGAAAACUCAUCACCCCGUCCAUCGUUGACUUGGUUUCAAAGGCUAGAGAUAAUCCGUGGUAUUGCGAUAGGUGUUGAGUACCUUCACAACAAGGAAGUCAUCCACAGAGAUCUUAAGUUGCCGAACAUACUCUUGGAUCACGAGCUAAAGCCUAAGAUAGCGGACUUCGGCACCGCAAAGCUAUUUAUUGAUGAUCAGACGAACCCAACAUUAGUACAAACACCGGGAUACAUUGCUCCAGAGUACGCAAGGGAAGGCAACCUGACGCUCAAGUGUGACGUAUACAGUUUUGGAGUGGUCUUGCUAGAGAUAGUCUCUGGCAAAAAGAUCACUUCCGCAAAAACGUUUCUUCUUGAUGCAUGGAGGUAUUGGAACAAAGGAAAAAUCAAGGCCCUUCUUGAUUCGCAGGUGGCUGAACCUAACCAUCAGCUCUCGUUGGAUCUAUCCAGGGUUAUCCAGAUCGGGCUUCUCUGCGUUCAACCAAUGCCCAAUGACAGGCCUACCAUGCCAGAGGUGGUCGUAAUGCUAACCGACAGCAGUUCAUGGCUCGCUAGGCCCAAGAAGCACGAGGUCGGCCCUGGUCAAGCAACCGGAUACCCACAGACAUCGAACUAUUCUCUUGCACACUGUCUCUGUUUAGAACAGAGAUAA
rnacentral:rRNA from 1 species